GAACGCUGGCGGCAUGCCUUACACAUGCAAGUCGAACGGCAGGCACGGGAGCAAUCCUGGUGGCGAGUGGCGAACGGGUGAGUAAUAUAUCGGAACGUGCCCAGUCGUGGGGGAUAACGUAGCGAAAGCUACGNUAAUACCGCAUACGAUCUAUGGAUGAAGCGGGGGAUCGCAAGACCUCGCGCGAUUGGAGCGGCCGAUAUCAGAUUAGGUAGUUGGUGAGGUAAAGGCUCACCAAGCCGACGAUCUGUAGCUGGUCUGAGAGGACGACCAGCCACACUGGGACUGAGACACGGCCCAGACUCCUACGGGAGGCAGCAGUGGGGAAUUUUGGACAAUGGGCGCAAGCCUGAUCCAGCAAUGCCGCGUGCAGGAUGAAGGCCUUCGGGUUGUAAACUGCUUUUGUACGGAACGAAACGGUGAGCUCUAAUACAGUUUGCUAAUGACGGUACCGUAAGAAUAAGCACCGGCUAACUACGAG
rnacentral:rRNA from 1 species